GACGAACCGUACGAACGUUAUUCGGAAUUACUGGGCUUAAAGGGUUUGUAGGCGGCCUUGUAAGUCAGGUGUGGAAUCCCUCGGCUCAACCGAGGAAUGGCGCUUGAUACUGCAAGGCUUGAGGGAGACAGGGGUAAGCGGAACUGAUGGUGGAGCGGUGAAAUGCGUUGAUAUCAUCAGGAACACCGGUGGCGAAAGCGGCUUACUGGGUCUCUUCUGACGCUGAGGAACGAAAGCUAGGGUAGCGAACGGG
rnacentral:rRNA from 1 species